UACGUAGGGUGCGAGCGUUAAUCGGAAUUACUGGGCGUAAAGCGAGCGCAGACGGUUACUUAAGCAGGAUGUGAAAUCCCCGGGCUCAACCUGGGAACUGCGUUCUGAACUGGGUGACUAGAGUGUGUCAGAGGGAGGUAGAAUUCCACGUGUAGCAGUGAAAUGCGUAGAGAUGUGGAGGAAUACCGAUGGCGAAGGCAGCCUCCUGGGAUAACACUGACGUUCAUGCUCGAAAGCGUGGGUAGCAAACAGGAUUAGA
rnacentral:rRNA from 1 species